AUGCUUGUCUCAAAGAUUAAGCCAUGCAUGUCUAAGUAUAAGCAAUUAUACCGUGAAACUGCGAAUGGCUCAUUAAAUCAGUUAUCGUUUAUUUGAUAAUACCUUACUACUUGGAUAACCGUGGUAAUUCUAGAGCUAAUACAUGCUGAAAAUCCCGACUUCGGAAGGGAUGUGUUUAUUAGAUAAAAAACCAAUGCCCUUCGGGGCUUUUUGGUGAUUCAUGAUAACUUUACGGAUCGCAUAGCCUUGCGCUGGCGACGGUUCAUUCAAAUUUCUGCCCUAUCAACUUUCGAUGGUAAGGUAUUGGCUUACCAUGGUUUCAACGGGUAACGGGGAAUA
rnacentral:rRNA from 1 species